rnacentral:rRNA from 1 species
UUCUACAUUAACCAAUACCAAAAAACACCUAGAUCCCGUUAUCAAUAUUGAAUAAUUUUAUAAAAUUAUAAAACCUAUAAUGCUAGAACUAGUAAUAAGAAAUGCGCAUUUCUCCUAAAUGUGAGUACAAAUCAGCAAGAACUCCUCCCUGACCAAUACUGCAAUGCAAAGUAACAACUCAUACCAGAAAACCUUACCCCACUAAGCAUUAACCUAACACAAGAACAUUUAAGGAAAGAUAAAACUAGGGGGAAGGAACUCGGCAAAUCUUAGUCUCGCCUGUUUACCAAAAACAUCGCCUUUUGAUUCCCAUAAAAGGUCCAGCCUGCCCAGUGACUACAAUUUAACGGCCGCGGUACCCUAACCGUGCGAAGGUAGCAUAAUCACUUGUUUCUUAAAUGGAGACUAGUAUCAACGGCACCACGAAGACUACACUGUCUCCCCCCUAAAAUCAAUGAAACUGAUCCCCUCGUGAAGAAGCGAGAAUACAAAUAUAAGACGAGAAGACCCCAUGGAGCUUUAAACGAACUUCAAUUGCUCCCUUCCACACCAUAGAAAUUGAGCACUAAUGAUGAUAUGUUUUCGGUUGGGGUGACCGCGGAGUAAAACAAAACCUCCACAAUGAAUGCAAUAAGCUAAUAAAAGAACUACAAUUCUAAUAAUCAAAAAAAUUGACAUUAUUGACCCAAACACUUGAUCAAUGAACCAAGUUACCCUGGGGAUAACAGCGCAAUCCAUUUUAAGAGCCCAUAUCGACAAAUGGGUUUACGACCUCGAUGUUGGAUCAGGGUAUCCCAGUGGUGCAGCCGCUACUAGCGGU